AUAUUUUGGAGGAAAAUAUGCUGGACCUCAAUUCUAACAUUUGUUUUCGAUGAUGGAGCUUUCAAAUCGACGAUCGGCACCGUUGAACAUGAUCUAUAUCACUUGAAGUAUUUAGAAAUCAAAUUUCAAAUCUUUUCGACAUCAUUUACCUAAUGAUCAAAGGGUUUCAAAAUUAGUAAUUUUAAUUGUUGAUAUGAGGGAUUUUUUCAUUUAACGGUGUAAAGCUAUCCAAAUUAAUUGAAUUUUGGUUAGAAAAUUCUUUAAACUAUUUAGAACAAGAUCUAUACUCUCGAUCAUGAUUACAAAAUUUCUAUCAUCACUUUUUAGAGGAUAUUCAUUUUCAGCCAUUCAUUUUUACGCCCACUUGAUGGACAA
rnacentral:lncRNA from 1 species